CGAUUUUGUAAACUGCGCCCACCGGAGGAGCUCUGACUUCCAUCCAACUACCAGUAAGUACCUGUUUCCAACUAAAAACAUUAGUUUUUAGCAAGUCGGCAAGUCCAAAUAACUGUAUAUGGUCUAGAGAGGAAAAUAUCCAAUAAUAACACCAUAAAAUUAUCAAGUGCCGUACUGCGCCUGCUUGUAGCACAGAAAAUGGUCAGAUAGGGGAGAGUGGGGUAAAUUGAGCCAAGGGUAAGUUGAUGUUGGUCCCUAGUAAGCAGAUGUUGGAAGUUAAUGAAGAUUUUGCCUGUAUUGAUGGUGGUGUUAUUGUUCACUAGGUGGGCUGGUCCAUCAAACAUUUGCCAGAAUUGCCAGAUUGCUGUAACUUGCCUGUCUGGUUGCUAGAAAUCAAAACUCAGAUGUCGUACGACAGCAGCAUGAGCUUCUUCUAGUACAAUAUUUCGUUCAAGCUUUCUGGACAUUUAACUGUGAGCAUGAACCUUAAUGGUGGUAUUAAAGUUAUAUUUAGAAGAUCACCAAAGUUAAUAGGAUUCCUCUUCAGAGGAUCAUAAAUGUCUGAUAAAAUGUAAUGAAAAUUCAACCAUUAAUUGUUAAGAUGUCUGAAUUUUAACUGACUGGCAGUGCUGCACACAGAGCAAUGCAGCUAAUAUGGCUUGCAAAGCGUAUGCAUACAUUCCCCCGUGAUAUUGAUUGACUUUAUACACUCCUAAUUAAAAUCCUCACUUAUUUUUUAUCUGUUGGUGUUAGGGGUAAGCAUAAGGAAACCCCUACAGAGAAAGAGACAGAGAAACCAAGUGGGAGACAUUAUGCACGGUGUCUCCACCCUGCAGGGCAGUAAAGCAUAUCGAUGGUUGGCUAGACUGCACCGGGCAGCUGCUGUGGCGUAAAGAGGAGCAGACCUGCCAGACACACAGAUGUAGAGUAAUGAGUCAUUGUGUACUGGAAUAUUGUCAAAAGUCUGCAUCUCUGUUUUGCUCCCUUGUUCUCCGUCUCCCCAUCUCUCUCUCUGUCUCUCUCCUUCUCUUUGUAUUGUGCCAGGCUCUGUGUUUAUGCUUGAAUUUGACAUGAAUUUCAAUUUAAUGAGCAUCUUCCAUGCCUCUGCUUGUUUCUAUUUGAAGAAUGGCACUGACAUGGCGUUCAGAUGAGGACUCAACUCUCACUUGUGACCACACGGUAUGAAAUAAAGUUUAAUAAGGUCAGAUUACACAAAGCAGCAGCAAAGGGCAGAAUUUGUAAAGGUCACAGCAGGGGUAGAAAGGUCUCAGCGUGCAGCUCAGUAGGGAAAUAAGGCAGAAUAAUAUGACAGUGGGUAACAAUGAGGGACAAGAAAACAAAGGCACCGAAAUGCUGCAUACAUUUUAAGUUUUUUUUCCCUCACUUGUGCCCUCAAUAUUCGUUUGUCAGAGACUGAAGUCUGGCUUUGGUUGGUAGUGAACUUUUGUAAACCUUGCAGGUUCUAUUUUUGGCCUUCGUUAAACAAAAGGUGUUUUUUAGAGUGGAACUAUGGGAAUCAAUCCAAAUGUAUUAAUGGACAGCAGAAACGUAACGUACAGUGGUUACAGACAUGUCCCACCAUUUAUGUCUAGUGCAUGUCAAGUAAUUCAAUCAUACCAUAAUGGAGAUGCAGAAUAUCUCCAAGAAAAGAGUCACAGUUCCCUUCGUUUUAAUGUCUUCUUUUUAACGUAAUUUUUGUCAGUGUUUUUGUAUUUAACUUACAGAGCAAGUUUAUGACUGCAUAUUAGAACAUGAAUGAAAGGGAGUAGCUGUACUCCUCCUCUGUUUCUUUGACUUUUUUGUGUUUAUUAGCAGUUGGCAGACCAGCUAAGAGGUGCAUUACUGCCACCUACUGGAACAAUGGGGGAUAAGGGCAGGGGGGGAUACAGGGAAAGCAGGGAGAUUUGGGCAUCAUCUCAAUUAUCAUCCCUACCCAUGUAUAUCAGAGAGUUGUUGAAAGUAGUUAAAGCAUUUAAGUAGUUAAAGUAACAUCACUCAAUGGGAAAACCAUCCAGUCAUAGGGUAGAGUAAACAUUACCAUAAAACCACACUUUAAGUAGAUACAAUUGAAAGAACUAAAUUAUAUACCCAAAAGCCUAUGAUUGAAUAUGCAUGUCUUCCUAACCCCUCCUUCCCAUGACACCCCUCAAACUCUUAAAUAAGUGUUUUAGCCUUAAGUAUUCCAAAAAAACAAAGUUGUCAAGCACACUGGUGUCAGCACAGUCUUUACAAACAACGGCUCAUUUCAUGAUAGACUGGUUUAACUCCAAAACACAACAGCUUGAGUUUGUUUGAUGUGUGAAACAUACUCAUAAAAGUUUGUCUUUGCACAGGUUGGGAGGCUGGAUCCUCAUUAGUGACCAUCUGUAAUCUGCUUAAUGGUAAGAAACGAAUAUGAAGUAUUAAAGAGUGACUCAGUCUAGUUGUAACUUACACCCCCUCUUAAAACUGUGCUACUGUAAGUGAAUGAAUUCAAGGUGAUCGUAGUUGCUGUUGUCAUUCAAUGCUGAAAGGUUAUUUGGUAUACUAGAAAAACUAAUUCAUCUCUGUCAGAUAAGAGGGACUGUGAGCUGAAUCCUGUUUGAGUGAAGUUUUGUUCAUGUGUCUACUUAAACGUCUGAGACUGCCAUGUGCUGGAGAAGUUCGAGGAGGUCAGGUUGACAUUGUACUGAGAAUUCAUAGAAGAGAGGCAGAGAUAGACAUAUUUAGUUACAGAUACUCAGUCCUUUUAGCUAGACUGUGAUUUCCUAAGAGUUUCAACAAAAGCUUUUUCAAAACCACUUAAUCAUUGCUAGUAUAUUGAGCAUCACUGUCCUUCUCUUAUAGACCGAUCAGCUUAUUUAUGUUUAGGUGUCAUUUGAUAUGAAUAUUUUUGUGUUCCAGGCUGAUGGUAAAAAAAAUCCAGUUCGUAAUGUUCUUCGUUGAGCUGCGUCGCCCCGCAGCAGACCGUAAUGGACUGGCCCGAGGUCUCGCUACAAACAAGUGGCUGCUGGAGGAGAGUAGGU